rnacentral:rRNA from 1 species
UACGUAGGGGGCAAGCGUUGUCCGGAGUUACUGGGCGUAAAGCGCACGCAGGCGGUCUCUUAAGUUUGGAGUGACAGUUGGUGGCUUAACUGCCAAAGUGCUUCGAAAACUGAGAGACUUGAGGGCUUCAGAGGGACACGGAAUUCCGGGUGGAGUGGUGAAAUGCGUAGAGAUCCGGAGGAACACCAAAGGCGAAGGCAGUGUCCUGGGGAGUACCUGACGCUCAGGUGCGGAAAGCCAGGGGAGGACGAACGGG